ensembl:lncRNA
CGAACCCACCAAACGCUCUCUACAUCCUGUGUAUUGAAAGCCCACUCACACAUGUCGUUUUAGGCAAAUGGAAGAAGUCCCAAGGCACUACACAGUAACCAAACUGACCCCCCCCCCCCUGUUGCACCCAUAUACAGUAAGCAGUAAGCAUGGGUUGAAAUGUAUUUGUAGACGUAAUAUGUCUUCAUGGAGCCAAACAGGAAACUAGCAAAUGCCAUUAAAUGAAUCUACUCUGUUAAAAUAUUCUGUGAGUGCUCAAACUGUGUUGCCGUACUGCUGAGAGUUAAAUAUCUAAAUCUAUGGAUUUAAUCCAUUAACCCUCGGGGAACGACCACACCUCUUAGGAGAGGGCGUCAGA